GACAUCCGGACAGACACCAGUACCGAGCUCUAGCGGAGUUCGCCUACAAGGACCAAAAGAGUCAGGAUACUCAAGGCUUAACCUUUCUCGUAACGCAAGCCAGAUGGAGGAUUGUGCAAGGAACGGAGCAUAACAUUGCAUUCAUUGUCUUCCUCCAAAAUGCGAUGCUGGAGAAAUGUAUCAGCGUAGUUGUGGUGCCCCCAUUGAAUAGACUUGCAAGGAGAAGGACCGUCACUAAGUUUUGGUGCAAACCAGUGGCAUAGCCAAAAAUGUCUUUCAUAGUGUGUGUGUAGGUGGGGGAUGCUCUUCUGGUGCUUCGACAGAAGGAGGAUGGCAUCGCAGAAGCCGUAACUCUUACAUCUCCCCGUGACCAAUACAGAUGUUCGGCCUUGUCUGUGUGACAUAAUGCCUCGAAAAGAGAAGGACAACAGGAGGCACACAUAUUGUGUUAUUCCUAUUACCUUUGUCCUUUCAAGCACUUCGCAGUUACUGUGUCCUCCCCAUGAUCCAUCAAUUCCAAUCGGUCAUCUUCACGGAAUCUCUC